CCUACGGGAUGCACCAGUAGGGAAUCUUCCACAAUGGGCGCAAGCCUGAUGGAGCAACGCCGCGUGUGUGAUGAAGACUUUCGGGUCGUAAAGCACUGUUGUAUGGGAAGAACGGGUUUAAGAGGAAAUGCUUAAACAGUGACGGUACCAUACCAGAAAGGGACGGCUAAAUACGUGCCAGCAGCCGCGGUAAUACGUAUGUCCCGAGCGUUAUCCGGAUUUAUUGGGCGUAAAGCGAGCGCAGACGGUUGCUUAAGUCUGAAGUGACAGCCCACAGCUCAACUGUGGAAUGGCUUUGGAAACUGGGCAACUUGAGUGCAGUAGAGGUAAGUGGAACUCCAUGUGUAGCGGUGGAAUGCGUAGAUAUAUGGAAGAACACCGGUGGCGAAGGCGGCUUACUGGACUGCAACUGACGUUGAGGCUCGAAAGUGUGGGUAGCAAACAGGAUUAGAUACCCCGGUAGUC
rnacentral:rRNA from 1 species